GAUCGGCAAGUUUGACCAGGAGCACGCGGACGUCGUCCGAAAUGGCGAGCAGCAGCUU
rnacentral:sRNA from 1 species